rnacentral:ncRNA from 1 species
CGGCGGGACACCCCUCCCCACCGAGGGGCGCCCAUCUGGAAGGAUGGCAC